rnacentral:rRNA from 1 species
CAGCAGCCGCGGGAAAACGUAGGGUGCAAGCGUUAAUCGGAAUUACUGGGCGUAAAGCGUGCGCAGGCGGUUUUGCAAGUCAGAUGUGAAAUCCCCGGGCUCAACCUGGGAACUGCAUUUGAAACUACAAGGCUAGAGUGUGUCAGAGGUGGGUAGAAUUCCACGUGUAGCAGUGAAAUGCGUAGAGAUGUGGAGGAAUACCGAUGGCGAAGGCAGCCCCCUGGGAUAACACUGACGCUCAUGCACGAAAGCGUGGGGAGCAAACAGGAUUAGAUACCCCCGUAGUCCCUGUCUCUUAUAA